UGAAGAGUUUGAUCAUGGCUCAGAUUGAACGCUGGCGGCAGGCCUAACACAUGCAAGUCGAACGGUAACAGGAAGCAGCUUGCUGCUUUGCUGACGAGUGGCGGACGGGUGAGUAAUGUCUGGGAAACUGCCUGAUGGAGGGGGAUAACUACUGGAAACGGUGGCUAAUACCGCAUAACGUCGCAAGACCAAAGAGGGGGACCUUCGGGCCUCUUGCCAUCAGAUGUGCCCAGAUGGGAUUAGCUUGUUGGUGAGGUAACGGCUCACCAAGGCGACGAUCCCUAGCUGGUCUGAGAGGAUGACCAGCCACACUGGAACUGAGACACGGUCCAGACUCCUACGGGAGGCAGCAGUGGGGAAUAUUGCACAAUGGGCGCAAGCCUGAUGCAGCCAUGCCGCGUGUAUGAAGAAGGCCUUCGGGUUGUAAAGUACUUUCAGCGGGGAGGAAGGUGUUGUGGUUAAUAACCGCAGCAAUUGACGUUACCCGCAGAAGAAGCACCGGCUAACUCCGUGCCAGCAGCCGCGGUAAUACGGAGGGUGCAAGCGUUAAUCGGAAUUACUGGGCGUAAAGCGCACGCAGGCGGUCUGUCAAGUCGGAUGUGAAAUCCCCGGGCUCAACCUGGGAACUGCAUUCGAAACUGGCAGGCUUGAGUCUUGUAGAGGGGGGUAGAAUUCCAGGUGUAGCGGUGAAAUGCGUAGAGAUCUGAAGGAAUACCGGUGGCGAAGGCGGCCCCCUGGACAAAGACUGACGCUCAGGUGCGAAAGCGUGGGGAGCAAACAGGAUUAGAUACCCUGGUAGUCCACGCCGUAAACGAUGUCUACUUGGAGGUUGUGCCCUUGAGGCGUGGCUUCCGGAGCUAACGCGUUAAGUAGACCGCCUGGGGAGUACGGCCGCAAGGUUAAAACUCAAAUGAAUUGACGGGGGCCCGCACAAGCGGUGGAGCAUGUGGUUUAAUUCGAUGCAACGCGAAGAACCUUACCUGGUCUUGACAUCCACAGAACUUUCCAGAGAUGGAUUGGUGCCUUCGGGAACUGUGAGACAGGUGCUGCAUGGCUGUCGUCAGCUCGUGUUGUGAAAUGUUGGGUUAAGUCCCGCAACGAGCGCAACCCUUAUCCUUUGUUGCCAGCGGUCCGGCCGGGAACUCAAAGGAGACUGCCAGUGAUAAACUGGAGGAAGGUGGGGAUGACGUCAAGUCAUCAUGGCCCUUACGACCAGGGCUACACACGUGCUACAAUGGCGCAUACAAAGAGAAGCGACCUCGCGAGAGCAAGCGGACCUCAUAAAGUGCGUCGUAGUCCGGAUUGGAGUCUGCAACUCGACUCCAUGAAGUCGGAAUCGCUAGUAAUCGUGGAUCAGAAUGCCACGGUGAAUACGUUCCCGGGCCUUGUACACACCGCCCGUCACACCAUGGGAGUGGGUUGCAAAAGAAGUAGGUAGCUUAACCUUCGGGAGGGCGCUUACCACUUUGUGAUUCAUGACUGGGGUGAAGUCGUAACAAGGUAACCGUAGGGGAACCUGC
rnacentral:rRNA from 1 species